GNGGGAAUUCCCAACANGNUUAAACCUNGANAACNCCCCAAUNGGAUAACUNCAAUUCUUNAGNUGUAGUUUGGGGUAGGCCGGAANUGAGUAAGNGUAAGNGNGGAAAUGCAUAGAUUUUACUCAGAANNCCCAAUUGCGAAGGCAGGUUACCCAAGUUACAACUUGACGNUGAUGGACGAAAAGCGUGGGAGCGAACAGGAUUANAUACCCUGGUAGUCCACGCUGUAAACGAUGCUAACUCGUUUUUGGGAUUUUCGGGAUUUCAGAGACCCAAGCGAAAGUGAUAAGUUAGCCACCUGGGGAGUACGUUCGCAAGAAUGAAACUCAAAGGAAUUGACGGGGGCCCGCACAAGCGGUGGAUUAUGUGGUUUAAUUCGAUGAUACGCGAGGAACCUUACCAAGACUUAAAUGGGAGUGGACAGGCUUAGAAAUAGGCUUUUCUUCGGACCACUUUCAAGGUGCUGCAUGGUUGUNGUCAGCUCGUGCCGUGAGGUGUUAGGUUAAGUCCUGCAACGAGCGCAACCCCUGUCACUAGUUGCUAACAUUAAGUUGAGGACUCUAGUGAGACUGCCUACGCAAGUAGAGAGGAAGGUGGGGAUGACGUCAAAUCAUCACGGCCCUUACGUCUUGGGCCACACACGUAAUACAAUGGCCGGUACAGAGGGCAGCUACACAGCGAUGUGAUGCGAAUCUCGAAAGCCGGUCUCAGUUCGGAUUGGAGUCUGCAACUCGACUCUAUGAAGCUGGAAUCGCUAGUAAUCGCGCAUCAGCCAUGGCGCGGUGAAUACGUUGCCCGGGCCUUGUACACACCGCCCGUCAAGCCAUGGAANUUUGGGGUACCUGAAGUCAGUGACCGUAA
rnacentral:rRNA from 1 species